UACUGUCCCUUACGGUAAGGGACACGUUACGUCAUCUCACGCGGGUUUCGGCGGGAAAUCAUCUCAGCUGAGCUCACCAUCACAUAAAGUAAAGCCCAGUGUUUGUGUCGGUCAGCGAUGGUCAUUUUUUUUAAACUCCCACCGUGUUUAAAGAUUUGGAGUGACCUUCAGUGACAGAGUGAUGAGGAGGCCUUGAUCAGAGUCACCGUGAGAUGCUGUCAACAAAACACCACUGCACCUGUGACCUCGCGUACCAAUUCAGCCUUACAGCAGCCAGUGGCCAUCUCUGUCCCAGUGAGUGUGAUUUUCCCACCAGAUGCCAUGGAUGACGGCUGUGGUCUGGAAAUACUCCACCCUGCAACCCCCCAUCUCUUGGGAUUCCGGAUGGAGGAAUGUGGCAGGCUUUGGAGGAGACGAGCCUUCUUCCCUCCCAACUCUUCCCGUCUCCUCACCCUCUCCAAGUCACGCACAACUAAUCCCAGCCAUCUAUUGAGGUGAGAUGCAAGUCGUCUCACCUUCCUCAACGUACGGUGUAAUAUUCAACAACAUGCCAAGGGUCAAAUUGUGACAGCUAAUUUCUCUCCCAUGAUCCCAGACAGCUUUCCUCUGUCUUAAGUAUUUUAGUCUUCCUUGUGUAUCUAAUGGCUUAAGUUCCACGUGGAGGCACACUUACACCUCUUGGAUAUGACCUUAUGCCUGAAAACUCAACUUUGCCAGCAGAGUGCUUCACUGACCAUAUCUGUUCUACCUUCUGUAAUGUACAGACUAUUAAAUAAAACCUUGUCUUAAUUUCA